CAAUAUUCGAUCAUGUCAUGAUCCACGCUGUGAAGAGAUGAGACGGGGUGCAGCAGAGAGAGAGGCACUGUAGUUUUAGGAGAAGAUUUAGAACAGUUUUUGUAAACAAUUUAAUAAGAUUUCUCCCCCUCUGUUCUGACAGCCUCCACCCCUACAGGAAGAGCUCCAGGCAAUUAGCAACCCCUGAGAGAUGGGGAGACAGAUUCUUCCUCAGGGAUGAACCCUUAAUUGGUAGAAAUGGUCAGCCCCAGAAACAUGUACACAUGAGCAACAAAAAAAUGGACCCAGCAGCUUAAUGGAGUUGACAACCCUUGCUACGUGAAUUCAUGGAACUCCUUGGCUGUCCCCUGACUCUCUCCACUUUCAAGGAGUUCCUCUUCACUAAUUCAAAAGGUGUUGGGGUCUACACCAGAGGACGAGUCAGGUCUGUCUCUGCCUGAGCUGCUACUCGCCGAAUGGAGACAGGAGCAAAAGUGACUUCAAUUGUUUUGGCCAGAGCAACCAGAGGAGUGAAAUUACUGUUGGCAGAGAAGGGGAAGACAGCCAGAAAAAAACACUGAGACGUCGGUAGCUAAGAAGGACAAUGGGAACGCCCCUGGGAACCUGAAGAGAAGCAAGAGGAGCCUAUAAAGGAGAUAGCUCGAAAGGAGGCUAUGAAGACAAAGGAGAAUGUCUGAGAUUUCCAUUUGAACUACCACAGUAGCCUCAGCUUUUAAAAGUAUCUCUCACAUCUCUCCAUAACUCUGUUUUCCAUGACUGGUCGGGCCGUACCCACAUUUCUGUCUUGGCAUCACUCGUGUGGGUAUUGCUCUAUAGCGCAGCGCUGAGCGCCGGGGAUGCUGUGUCGGACUCUCAGAACUUAAAUCUUGGUUUCCCGACUUGGUGUCUUCUGGCCCGAGAAGAUUGUUUAAGUUCUCGGCCUCUCUUUGCUCAUCUGAAAAUGAGUAAUUGUCUUUCCCCGCCGUGGGUGUCCUGGGGAUUAUGUAAGAUAACGCAUGUGAAGCAAACAGUAAUUAUUAGAGUUUAUUUUUAUUACCGUCACCCUCUUCAUCCUCCAUGAGGACAUAAGUUUUCCAAGGGACAGCGCUAUUAUGUUUAUCUUGUGGGCCUAAUGAUUUCUUGUAUACCGUAGGUUUUUAAUAAGUGUUUCGAGGGAUAGAGUCCAGAUUCAAACAGUUCUCGGUGUGUUGCAAGUGGCCGGUGGACUUCUCGGAAAAUCACCUCUUCUUGAAAAGCUGGGAACUGAGCACACUGUCUUUGAAGGCACUGUCAAGUGUCAGGUAGGUUAGAAUGCUCCACUGCCCUAAAAAUAAACUCUCGGUGUAUUUUUUCAAAGGCAUAUUCUACACACCCGAAUGUCACUUUUCUUUUUCUUUCUUUCUUUCUUUCUUUCUUUCUUUCUUUCUUUCUUUCUUUCUUUCUUUCUUUCUUUUUUUUUUUUUUUUUGAUCACAGCACUUGCUAGAUUGGAUUGUGCUGUCCUAAGAUCUUCCCAGGGUGCAUUUAGGAAGCUGGCAGGGAACCUGGAAGCACGAGGAGAUUCACGGCCUUGGAAGUCAGAUGACCGAAGUUCUCAACAGGGUCUGGGGAGAAAUCCAUCGUUCCAGGUCCUUCUGUGUCACAUUCUGGUGACUUGCUUUUUCAAUGCCGUGUAGUCAAACAGAGACACAGCAAAAAAAUUAGUUAGGCAACUCAUUUCUAUUAUUA
rnacentral:lncRNA from 1 species